GAAGCUGGGCUCUCUGGUGAGUGGGGUGAAGGUUGAGACUCUGUGGAACUUGCCCUCUGACAUCCUGCUGUUCUCGCUGCCUGACAUCGUCCUGCACACGCCCGGGCUCAACCCCCCACAGGCCAACACCAUCACCACCAAACUCUGGGUACGGCCUUAGAGGGACACACCGACACUGACCCCCAUCCUCACAAACAGCGACAUGCUCACUCAUACUAAAUGAAGACAAUCGACAAGGGCUCACCAGAGGUGACUGGCUGGUUGGAUAAGGUGGAGCCCCUGCUUCCCACCAACAGGACCUUGGCAGGAAGACAGGCCUGGAACACAAAGCAGGCUAAAACUCUUUAUAAAGAAGCAGUGAAGACCAUGCCCUAUCUUUCCACUGAGACGUUUCUUGCCCUUGGAAGCAUUGCUCGAGGUGUAAGCUGCACAUCCCUGCGACAGCUCUUCCGGGACAAGCCAWCAUUUUCCUCAAUGCGGAGUGUCCUUGCAUUCAUGAAUAAGCAGUCUGUUCCUCUCCAUUCCUCACUGAAAAAGUGCAUCAUCGAGGAGCUGUACUACUUUGACUUCUGAGCUGCUGGGAGAGUUUGGCGCGCAGAUCGCUCUGGCCCUGCCGGUGAGCACUAUUAAGAAGUUCCCUGCUGACAUGAUGGAUACUUUCAGGAAGAUGAUUGAGAAGGACUCCCAUCAUUUCCUGCUCCUACCCAGUACAAAACAGGAUAUUCUGGUGGACAGGAUGGAGCAGAGACUUGGCAUGUACACAGGAGAGUUCACUGAGGGUGAGUUCCGUUCACUGGGCAUCAUGGCGACCUAUGUAGUGGAUGAGGUGUUUGUGCAGCUGGUGCGGAGCUUCUUUGUGGAGAGCCUGGAGUUCCUCUAGGAGUUCUGCUAUAACAGCAGCAAGAGGGACAUCGUCGCACAGAUCCUACAGGAGCCAGGCAACUUCGGCCCCGUUCAGAACUGGACCCCUGAGACACUCAAUCAAGUGGACAGAUUAUUAUUUUUCUUCCUUCCCAAAGAGACGCUGCAGCAGAUUCCCCAGGCAGUUCUGAGGCUGGGCCGUCUGAGGCUGACCUGUUCAGAAGAGCAGCAGUAGGCUUUAACGGGACUGCUGAGCCAUAGCCUGGCUUUUGGACCCAUAAGCUCCUGGCGCCCUGAGGUCUUCAUUGAGGUUGGAGCACUGGCAGCGAACAGGCCAACCCACUGAUCAAGCAACAUCGGAAGAAUGUGUGAACUUCUUUUAUGAACAUUUGCUCUGGCGUGGCCUACGGCUGCUUAUAGACUAAAUGAAAAUCUGACCCACUUGUAUUAAUAACUACUUUGUUGAUUGUGAAUGACAACUUUAUACUAUUAUAUUACUAACUAUCUAGCAAAUUAUUCUGUCUUAACCAGCCUGAUUUCAUUGAUCUGUUGCAUGUUGUCUUGAAUGUGCCAAAUCAACUGGAACACUCUCAGGCAAGUUUAAACUAGCAUUUUUCACAUUGAGCACAUUGCUGGCUAAUGACGACAAACCUGGGAAAUUAACUAUUUUCCGUAAGUAAUGAUACAAUAUGUUUUACAUUACAAUAAAGUAAAGCGUUUAAAUAAUCCUAAACAACCAAAAUCUCAAUUUCCAGAUUCUGGCUUUUUCCCAACUAUGAGGGCUCGAUAUCCGACGGGUUUUCGUAGUCAGCCUUACAUGUUUCACUGAAGCUAACAUUGUCUUGAUCUUAGCAGAGGGUAGUUAAAUUAGAUGCGUAUUAUGUCAGUACAUACUUUCAGCAUGUAUAUUUUGUAACGUUGAGUGUGAAUAAGAAGAGGAAUCAGGAUCUAGUGGAAGAAGGACAGCUCAAGGUUUGAGGGAGUGUUGGAUGUAGGAUACAAUUGUAUGCUGCUUCUAUUGUUGAUGUUGACUUUGUCGCCAUACAGUUAGUGUUGCUUUUGUGUUUGUCCCAAUGCAGGCAGUUCAUCCGGGCUGGCACUGUGCCCUAGUCCUCUGUCACCUUCUGGGACUGCUGAUGGUGCUGUUAGUUUCAGCUCUGUAAUGGCCUCCCCUUCUGAUGUGUAACCCCCUCACCCUCAAUGGGCCAAGAGGACUCUCUCCCACACAACUACAAUGUUAAACAAUACGUGUAAUAUAUUUGAGUAGCCCUGCAAGGCUAUUGUAAUGGAUGGUUAUUUAUUUAUAUCAAAUUGGUCACAUACACA